CACAAUUGGAGAUUCAAAUCCAAAAAUAGUUCACGAAUUCACAGGCAGCAGUCAAUAGUUAACGGUUCCAA
rnacentral:tRNA from 1 species